rnacentral:rRNA from 1 species
GACGAACGCUGGCGGCGUGCUUAACACAUGCAAGUCGAACGGUGAACCCGCUUCGGUGGGGGAUCAGUGGCGAACGGGUGAGUAACACGUGGGCAACCUGCCCUCAGCUUUGGGAUAACUCCGGGAAACCGGGGCUAAUACCGGAUACGACUCCUGCCCGCAUGGGUGGGGGUGGAAAGUUCUGGCGGCUGAGGAUGGGCCCGCGGCCUAUCAGCUUGUUGGUGGGGUGAUGGCCUACCAAGGCGACGACGGGUAGCCGGCCUGAGAGGGCGACCGGCCACACUGGGACUGAGACACGGCCCAGACUCCUACGGGAGGCAGCAGUGGGGAAUAUUGCGCAAUGGGCGAAAGCCUGACGCAGCGACGCCGCGUGAGGGAUGACGGCCUUCGGGUUGUAAACCCCUUUCAGCAGGGAAGAAGCGAAAGUGACGGUACCUGCAGAAGAAGCACCGGCUAACUACGUGCCAGCAGCCGCGGUAAUACGUAGGGUGCAAGCGUUGUCCGGAAUUAUUGGGCGUAAAGAGCUCGUAGGCGGCCAGUCACGUCGGGUGUGAAAAUCCGGGGCUUAACCCCGGACUUGCAUCCGAUACGGGCUGGCUAGAGUUCGGUAGGGGAGACUGGAAUUCCUGGUGUAGCGGUGAAAUGCGCAGAUAUCAGGAGGAACACCGGUGGCGAAGGCGGGUCUCUGGGCCGAUACUGACGCUGAGGAGCGAAAGCGUGGGGAGCGAACAGGAUUAGAUACCCUGGUAGUCCACGCCGUAAACGUUGGGCGCUAGGUGUGGGAUCCCUUCCACGGGUUCCGUGCCGCAGCUAACGCAUUAAGCGCCCCGCCUGGGGAGUACGGCCGCAAGGCUA